GAUGAACGCUGGCGGCGCGCCUAACACAUGCAAGUCGAACGGCACCCCACCUCGGUGGGAAGCGAGUGGCGAACGGCUGAGUAACACGUGGAGAACCCGCCCCCUCCUCCGGGAUAGCCUCGGGAAACCGUGGGUAAUACCGGAUGACGCCCGGACGACGCAUGUCGCCCGGGCCAAAGCCCAGACGGGAGGGGAUGGCUCCGCGGCCCAUCAGGUAGACGGCGGGGUGAAGGCCCACCGUGCCGACGACGGGUAGCCGGGUUGAGAGACCGACCGGCCAGAUUGGGACUGAGACACGGCCCAGACUCCUACGGGAGGCAGCAGUGGGGAAUCUUGCGCAAUGGGGGGAACCCUGACGCAGCGACGCCGCGUGCGGGACGAAGGCCCUAGGGUCGUAAACCGCUUUCAGCAGGGAUGAGACAAGACGGUACCUGCAGWAKAGCCCCGAAAUMYC
rnacentral:rRNA from 1 species